CAAUAGCGUAUAUUAAAGUUGUUGCGGUUAAAAAGCUCGUAGUUGGAUUUCUGCCGAGGACGACCGGUCCGCCCUCUGGGUGUGUAUCUGGUUUGGCCUGGGCAUCUUCUUGGAGAACGUAGCUGCACUUGACUGUGUGGUGCGGUGUCCAGGACUUUUACUUUGAGGAAAUUAGAGUGUUUCAAGCAGGCACACGCCUUGAAUACAUUAGCAUGGAAUAAUAAGAUAGGACCUCGGUUCUAUUUUGUUGGUUUCUAGAGCUGAGGUAAUGAUUAAUAGGGAUAGUUGGGGGCAUUCGUAUUUCAUUGUCAGAGGUGAAAUUCUUGGAUUUAUGAAAGACGAACUACUGCGAAAGCAUUUGCCAAGGAUGUUUUCAUUAA
rnacentral:rRNA from 1 species